UGGUUCUGGCAUCGAUGAAGAACGCAGCGAAAUGCGAUAAGUAAUGUGAAUUGCAGAAUUCAGUGAAUCAUCGAAUCUUUGAACGCACAUUGCGCCCGCCGGUAUCCCGGCGGGCAUGCCUGUUCGAGCGUCAUUUCAACCCUCAGGCCUUGCCUGGCGUUGGGGUUCUGCGCCUGCAGACCCCUAAAGACAGCGGCGGGUGUGUCCUCCAACCGAACGUAGUAGUAUAUCUCGUUCUGGAAUGGGGCGCUCUCCGGCCGUAAAACCCCCCCCUUUUUUCUAAUGGUUGACCUCGGAUCAGGUAGGAAUACCCGCUGA
rnacentral:misc_RNA from 1 species